rnacentral:tRNA from 1 species
CAUUAGGUGGCUGAAAGUAAGCAAUGGAAUUUUAAAUCAUCACAUGAUAAUUAACGUAUAUCCCUAAUG